AAAACAAAAAUAAUGCUUAUUUGGGCCCCUUUUUGGCCCCUAAUUCCUAAACUGUUUGGACCUCAACUCCCAACCUUCCUUUUGUGGUCGUAAACCUUGUGUUUACAUUUCAUUGAUUUCUAUUUACUUAUACUAAAGUUAUUGUGCGAAAACCAAGAAUAAUGCUUAUUUGGGCCCUUUUUUGGCCCCUAAUUCCUAAACUGUUGGAACCAAACAUCCGAAAAUCAAUCCCAACCUUCCUUUUGUGGUCAUAAACCUUGUGUUAAAAUUUCAUAGAUUUCUA
rnacentral:lncRNA from 1 species